rnacentral:rRNA from 1 species
AAAUUGAAGAGUUUGAUCAUGGCUCAGAUUGAACGCUGGCGGCAGGCCUAACACAUGCAAGUCGAACGGUAACAGGAAGCAGCUUGCUGCUUCGCUGACGAGUGGCGGACGGGUGAGUAAUGUCUGGGAAACUGCCUGAUGGAGGGGAUAACUACUGGAAACGGUAGCUAGCUGACGAGUGGCGGACGGGUGAGUAAUGUCUGGGAAACUGCCUGAUGGAGGGGGAUAACUACUGGAAACGGUAGCUAAUACCGCAUAAGUCGCAAGACCAAAGAGGGGGACCUUCGGGCCUCUUGCCAUCGGAUGUGCCCAGAUGGGAUUAGCUUGUUGGUGGGGUAACGGCUCACCAAGGCGACGAUCCUCGGGCCUCUUGCCAUCGGAUGUGCCCAGAUGGGAUUAGCUUGUUGGUGGGGUAACGGCUCACCAAGGCGACGAUCCCUAGCUGGUCUGAGAGGAUGACCAGCCACACUGGAACUGAGACACGGUCCAGACUCCUACGGGAGGCAGCAGUGGGGAAUAUUGCACAAUGGGCGCAAGCCUGAUGCAGCCAUGCCGCGUGUAUGAAGAAGGCCUUCGGGUUGUAAAGUACUUUCAGCGGGGAGGAAGGGAGUAAAGUUAAUACCUUUGCUCAUUGACGUUACCCGCAGAAGAAGCACCGGCUAACUCCGUGCCAGCAGCCGCGGUAAUACGGAGGGUGCAAGCGUUAAUCGGAAUUACUGGGCGUAAAGCGCACGCAGGCGGUUUGUUAAGUCAGAUGUGAAAUCCCCGGGCUCAACCUGGGAACUGCAUCUGAUACUGGCAAGCUUGAGUCUCGUAGAGGGGGGUAGAAUUCCAGGUGUAGCGGUGAAAUGCGUAGAGAUCUGGAGGAAUACCGGUGGCGAAGGCGGCCCCCUGGACGAAGACUGACGCUCAGGUGCGAAAGCGUGGGGAGCAAACAGGAUUAGAUACCCUGGUAGUCCACGCCGUAAACGAUGUCGACUUGGAGGUUGUGCCCUUGAGGCGUGGCUUCCGGAGCUAACGCGUUAAGUCGACCGCCUGGGGAGUACGGCCGCAAGGUUAAAACUCAAAUGAAUUGACGGGGGCCCGCACAAGCGGUGGAGCAUGUGGUUUAAUUCGAUGCAACGCGAAGAACCUUACCUGGUCUUGACAUCCACGGAAGUUUUCAGAGAUGAGAAUGUGCCUUCGGGAACCGUGAGACAGGUGCUGCAUGGCUGUCGUCAGCUCGUGUUGUGAAAUGUUGGGUUAAGUCCCGCAACGAGCGCAACCCUUAUCCUUUGUUGCCAGCGGUCCGGCUGGGAACUCAAAGGAGACUGCCAGUGAUAAACUGGAGGAAGGUGGGGAUGACGUCAAGUCAUCAUGGCCGGUCCGGCCGGGAACUCAAAGGAGACUGCCAGUGAUAAACUGGAGGAAGGUGGGGAUGACGUCAAGUCAUCAUGGCCCUUACGACCAGGGCUACACACGUGCUACAAUGGCGCAUACAAAGAGAAGCGACCUCGCGAGAGCAAGCGGACCUCAUAAAGUGCGUCGUAGUCCGGAUUGGAGUCUGCAACUCGACUCCAUGAAGUCGGAAUCGCUAGUAAUCGUGGAUCAGAAUGCCACGGUGAAUACGUUCCCGGGCCUUGUACACACCGCCCGUCACACCAUGGGAGUGGGUUGCAAAAGAAGUAGGUAGCUUAACCUUCGGGAGGGCGCUUACCACUUUGUGAUUCAUGACUGGGGUGAAGUCGUAACAAGGUAACCGUAGGGGAACCUGCGGUUGGAUCACCUCCUUA